rnacentral:rRNA from 1 species
AUACCAGCUGGCUGCAACUGUUUAUUAAAAACACAGCACUGUGCAAACACGAAAGUGGACGUAUACGGUGUGACGCCUGCCCGGUGCCGGAAGGUUAAUUGAUGGGGUUAUCCGUAAGGAGAAGCUCUUGAUCGAAGCCCCGGUAAACGGCGGCCGUAACUAUAACGGUCCUAAGGUAGCGAAAUUCCUUGUCGGGUAAGUUCCGACCUGCACGAAUGGCGUAAUGAUGGCCAGGCUGUCUCCACCCGAGACUCAGUGAAAUUGAACUCGCUGUGAAGAUGCAGUGUACCCGCGGCAAGACGGAAAGACCCCGUGAACCUUUACUAUAGCUUGACACUGAACACUGGUCCUUGAUGUGUAGGAUAGGUGGGAGGCUUUGAAGUGUGGACGCCAGUCUGCAUGGAGCCGCCCUUGAAAUACCACCCUUUAAUGGCUGGUGUUCUAACGUAGGCCCGUUACCCGGGUUGCGGACAGUGUCUGGUGGGUAGUUUGACUGGGGCGGUCUCCUCCUAAAGAGUAACGGAGGAGCACGAAGGUUAGCUAAUCCUGGUCGGACAUCAGGAGGUUAGUGCAAAGGCAUAAGCUAGCUUGACUGCGAGCGUGACGGCGCGAGCAGGUGCGAAAGCAGGUCUUAGUGAUCCGGUGGUUCUGAAUGGAAGGGCCAUCGCUCAACGGAUAAAAGGUACUCCGGGGAUAACAGGCUGAUACCGCCCAAGAGUUCAUAUCGACGGCGGUGUUUGGCACCUCGAUGUCGGCUCAUCACAUCCUGGGGCUGAAGUAGGUCCCAAGGGUAUGGCUGUUCGCCAUUUAAAGUGGUACGCGAGCUGGGUUUAGAACGUCGUGAGACAGUUCGGUCCCUAUCUGCCGUGGGCGCUGGAGAAUUGAGGGGGGCUGCUCCUAGUACGAGAGGACCGGAGUGGACGCAUCACUGGUGUUCGGGUUGUCAUGCCAAUGGCACUGCCCGGUAGCUAAAUGCGGAAGAGAUAAGUGCUGAAAGCAUCUAAGCACGAAACUUGCCCCGAGAUGAGUUCUCCCUGACCCUUAAAGGGUCCUGAAGGAACGUUGAAGACGACGACGUUGAUAGGCCGGGUGUGUAAGCGCAGCGAUGCGUUGAGCUAACCGGUACUAAUGAACCGUGAGGCUUAACCUUACAACGCCGAAG